GGCCAGACUCCUACGGGAGGCAGCAGCGGGGGAUAUUGCACAAUGGGGGGAACCCUGAUGCAGCGACGCCGCGUGGGUGAAGAAGCGCCUCGGCGCGUAAAGCCCUGUCAGCAGGGAAGAAAAUGACGGUACCUGAAGAAGAAGCCCCGGCUAACUACGUGCCAGCAGCCGCGGUAAUACGUAGGGGGCAAGCGUUAUCCGGAUUUACUGGGUGUAAAGGGGGCGCAGACGGCGAUGCAAGCCAGGAGUGAAAGCCCGGGGCCCAACCCCGGGACUGCUCUUGGAACUGCGUGGCUGGAGUGCAGGAGGGGCAGGCGGAAUUCCUGGUGUAGCGGUGAAAUGCGUAGAUAUCAGGAGGAACACCGGUGGCGAAGGCGGCCUGCUGGACUGCAACUGACGUUGAGGCCCGAAAGCGUGGGGAGCAAACAGGAUUAGAUACCCUGGUAU
rnacentral:rRNA from 1 species